rnacentral:rRNA from 1 species
AGCGAACGCUGGCGGCAGGCCUAAAACAUGCAAGUCGAACGCCGUAGCAAUACGGAGUGGCAGACGGGUGAGUAACACGUGGGAACGUGCCCUUUGGUCCGGAACAACACAGGGAAACUUGUGCUAAUACCGGAUAAGCCCUUACGGGGAAAGAUUUAUCGCCGAACGAUCGGCCCGCGUCUGAUUAGCUAGUUGGUGGGGUAAUGGCCCACCAAGGCUACGAUCAGUAGCUGGUCUGAGAGGAUGAUCAGACACACUGGGACUGAGACACGGCCCAGACUCCUACGGGAGUCAGCAGUUAGGAAUCUUGGACAAUGGGCGCAAGCCUGAUCCAGCCAUGCCGCGUGAGUGAUGAAGGCCUUAGGGUUGUAAAGCUCGUUCAGCGGGGAAGAUAAUGACGGUACCCGCAGAAGAAGCCCCGGCUAACUUCGUGCCAGCAGCCGCGGUGA